UCAAAACAGCGGACUUCGGUCCUUGCUGCACCCUUGUCUUUUGCGUACCGUAUGUUUCCUCGGCGGGCUUGCCUGCCGGUUGGACAUUAUCAAACCUUUUGUAGUUGCAAUCAGCGUCAGAAAAUAAUAAUAAUUA
rnacentral:misc_RNA from 1 species